AACGCUGGCGGCGUGCCUAAUACAUGCAAGUUGAGCGCUGAAGGUUGGUACUUGUACCGACUGGAUGAGCAGCGAACGGGUGAGUAACGCGUGGGGAAUCUGCCUUUGAGCGGGGGACAACAUUUGGAAACGAAUGCUAAUACCGCAUAAAAACUUUAAACACAAGUUUUAAGUUUGAAAGAUGCAAUUGCAUCACUCAAAGAUGAUCCCGCGUUGUAUUAGCUAGUUGGUGAGGUAAAGGCUCACCAAGGCGAUGAUACAUAGCCGACCUGAGAGGGUGAUCGGCCACAUUGGGACUGAGACACGGCCCAAACUCCUACGGGAGGCAGCAGUAGGGAAUCUUCGGCAAUGGACGAAAGUCUGACCGAGCAACGCCGCGUGAGUGAAGAAGGUUUUCGGAUCGUAAAACUCUGUUGGUAGAGAAGAACGUUGGUGAGAGUGGAAAGCUCAUCAAGUGACGGUAACUACCCAGAAAGGGACGGCUAACUACGUGCCAGCAGCCGCGGUAAUACGUAGGUCCCGAGCGUUGUCCGGAUUUAUUGGGCGUAAAGCGAGCGCAGGUGGUUUAUUAAGUCUGGUGUAAAAGGCAGUGGCUCAACCAUUGUAUGCAUUGGAAACUGGUAGACUUGAGUGCAGGAGAGGAGAGUGGAAUUCCAUGUGUAGCGGUGAAAUGCGUAGAUAUAUGGAGGAACACCGGUGGCGAAAGCGGCUCUCUGGCCUGUAACUGACACUGAGGCUCGAAAGCGUGGGGGAGCAAACAGGAUUAGAUACCCUGGUAGUCCACGCCGUAAACGAUGAGUGCUAGAUGUAGGGAGCUAUAAGUUCUCUUGUAUCGCAGCUAACGCAAUAAGCACCUCCGCCUGGGGGAGUACGACCGC
rnacentral:rRNA from 1 species